GCUAAACUAUUUACAACCAAUAAUGUUAAGUGUUCCAACUCCCAGAAACAUUCACAGUGAUUUGAAACUUUGUUUUUUUGUUCCUUUGUUUGUUUAGCUGGAGAAACAGCAAGACAGAAUAAGACGUUUAUUCCCUGGAUCUUCUUUAAUAGUUCCCUGAAUACUCUUAAUUAUGCCAAUAUGAGAAGAAUGAUCAGAGGGUCUGAUGCAAAUGCCCAGAUCUUGAGGUAAUGGUUUCUGGGACCACAGGUAACCUUUGCAAUGCCUUUAUGUGAAUUAGAAAAAGAUGCUCCUUUUGCUGAAGAGGCACAGCAGAACU
rnacentral:lncRNA from 1 species